GCGGCAGGCCUAACACAUGCAAGUCGAACGGUAACAGAAAGCAGCUUGCUGCUUUGCUGACGAGUGGCGGACGGGUGAGUAAUGUCUGGGAAACUGCCUGAUGGAGGGGGAUAACUACUGGAAACGGUAGCUAAUACCGCAUAACGUCGCAAGACCAAAGAGGGGGACCUUCGGGCCUCUUGCCAUCGGAUGUGCCCAGAUGGGAUUAGCUUGUUGGUGGGGUAACGGCUCACCAAGGCGACGAUCCCUAGCUGGUCUGAGAGGAUGACCAGCCACACUGGAACUGAGACACGGUCCAGACUCCUACGGGAGGCAGCAGUGGGGAAUAUUGCACAAUGGGCGCAAGCCUGAUGCAGCCAUGCCGCGUGUAUGAAGAAGGCCUUCGGGUUGUAAAGUACUUUCAGCGGGGAGGAAGGGAGUAAAGUUAAUACCUUUGCUCAUUGACGUUACCCGCAGAAGAAGCACCGGCUAACUCCGUGCCAGCAGCCGCGGUAAUACGGAGGGUGCGAGCGUUAAUCGGAAUUACUGGGCGUAAAGCGCACGCAGGCGGUUUGUUAAGUCAGAUGUGAAAUCCCCGGGCUCACCCCUGGGAACUGCAUCUGAUACUGGCAAGCUUGAGUCUCGUAGAGGGGGGUAGAAUUCCAGGUGUAGCGGUGAAAUGCGUAGAGAUCUGGAGGAAUACCGGUGGCGAAGGCGGCCCCCUGGACGAAGACUGACGCUCAGGUGCGAAAGCGUGGGGAGCAAACAGGAUUAGAUACCCUGGUAGUCCACGCCGUAAACGAUGUCGACUUGGAGGUUGUGCCCUUGAGGCGUGGCUUCCGGAGCUAACGCGUUAAGUCGACCGCCUGGGGAGUACGGCCGCAAGGUUAAAACUCAAAUGAAUUGACGGGGGCCCGCACAAGCGGUGGAGCAUGUGGUUUAAUUCGAUGCAACGCGAAGAACCUUACCUGGUCUUGACAUCCACAGAACUUUCCAGAGAUGGAUUGGUGCCUUCGGGAACUGUGAGACAGGUGCUGCAUGGCUGUCGUCAGCUCGUGUUGUGAAAUGUUGGGUUAAGUCCCGCAACGAGCGCAACCCUUAUCCUUUGUUGCCAGCGGUCCGGCCGGGAACUCAAAGGAGACUGCCAGUGAUAAACUGGAGGAAGGUGGGGAUGACGUCAAGUCAUCAUGGCCCUUACGACCAGGGCUACACACGUGCUACAAUGGCGCAUACAAAGAGAAGCGACCUCGCGAGAGCAAGCGGACCUCAUAAAGUGCGUCGUAGUCCGGAUUGGAGUCUGCAACUCGACUCCAUGAAGUCGGAAUCGCUAGUAAUCGUGGAUCAGAAUGCCACGGUGAAUACGUUCCCGGGCCUUGUACACACCGCCCGUCACACCAUGGGAGUGGGUUGCAAAAGAAGUAGGUAGCUUAACCUUCGGGAGGGCGCUUACCACUUUGUGAUUCAUGACUGGGGUGAA
rnacentral:rRNA from 1 species